UACAGAGGUCCCGAGCGUUGUUCGGAUUCACUGGGCGUAAAGGGUGCGUAGGUGGCGAUGAAAGUUCGAUGUGAAAUCUCCGGGCUUAACCCGGAAAAGGCAUUGAAAACUAUGUUGCUUGAGGUUUGGAGGGGGGACUGGAAUUCUUGGUGUAGCAGUGAAAUGCGUAGAUAUCAAGAGGAACACCGGUGGCGAAGGCGCCGCUCUGGGCCGAAACUGACGCUGAAGAGCGAAAGCGUGGGGAGCGAACAGG
rnacentral:rRNA from 1 species